GACGAACGCUGGCGGCGUGCUUAACACAUGCAAGUCGAACGGUGAAGCGCCUUCCUUUUUGGUGGGUGUGGAUGAGUGGCGAACGGGUGAGUAACACGUGAGUAACCUGCCCCCUUCUUCUGGAUAACCGCAUGAAAGUGUGGCUAAUACGGGAUAUUCUGGGUCUGUCGCAUGAUGGGUCUGGGAAAGAUAUUGUUUCGGUGGGGGAUGGGCUCGCGGCCAAUCAGCUUGUUGGUGGGGUGAUGGCCUACCAAGGCGGUGACGGGUAGCCGGCCUGAGAGGGUGGACGGUCACACUGGGACUGAGACACGGCCCAGACUCCUACGGGAGGCAGCAGUGGGGAAUAUUGCACAAUGGGCGCAAGCCUGAUGCAGCGACGCCGCGUGAGGGAUGGAGGCCUUCGGGUUGUGAACCUCUUUCGCCAGUGAAGCAGGCCUGCCUCGUUUGUGGGUGGGUUGACGGUAGCUGGAUAAGAAGCGCCGGCUAACUACGUG
rnacentral:rRNA from 1 species